UAGGAAGCUGCAAACAGAUUCUGUUCCUCUCAGCUGUGGAAAUUUACUCUUUGACAAGUAAUUCCUCUUUUACCACUGAGUGAUAACCAUUUUUAUGUUGUCUUUUAAAAUGGUAGGUAGGGACCAGAGCACCAAGCUUGCUCCAAGGCUUCUUUGAGAUUCAUUUUAUCCUACACAUACAGCUGCUAACCAUCUGUACCUCUAAAGGUUUUUUUUUAAAAAAAGUUGAAAAUGGAGAUCCUUCCUUAGUGAAACUGUUGCUAAUUGUAUGGACAAAUGGAUUUACUACAAGACGUCUUGCCUAUCUGUUCAGGAAAUAUUCAGAUACAGGGCAUAGCAGCAGGUGAAGAGUCAUCCUCUAGUUCAUCGGCCCAGCCUGCAUUCCUGGCCAGUUGGUCCAAUUUGCAACAGUACUCAGAGGAACCCCGAGAAAAAUGUUUCCAAAAGGAGAAGAUGGCCUCAGGUAAUCCCAGGGAACUGGAUCCAGGAAGUCAGCCUGCACAGAUAGGAGAGGGAAUUCUGGAAACUGAAUCGGUGUCACUGGCUGUAGGGGAAGGGUUUCCAAAUGAGAUCGCCCUCUCAUUUACUGUCAAGAGUCGUUCUGGACAGGGCCACAAUCCCCAGCUACAGGAAGCAGCAAGAAAGAAGCUGUGGGCCCUGGAAAAUGACGAUAAAGAUGUCUGUGCUCUUUUCAAGGAGCUGUCAGCCAGGCUGGUGAGCAUCCAAGCCCAGGACAACCGCUUUCUACUCUCCUUCAGGACUGUAGAAGAAAUAUGGAAGUUUUCAACAUAUCUAGCUCUUGGCUAUGUGGGCUGCUGCUUGGAGCAUCUUCUCUUCACUUCAGAUUAUUGGUUGAACUGUGCUCUGGUGGAGGACACUGAGAUCACUGUCACUGUAGAUGAAGACCACAUGACCACUAUGUACCUAGGUCUUUUGCUCCAGGAAGGAAACUUCUUUGCCAGGGCAGUGUUCAGUGUCCUGGUAGAGGAGAAGGAGGAGGAUCUGAAGCUCUGCAAAAAUGAGCUAGUCCAUGUGAAAGAUGUUGGUCAUGAAACAAAAUGGGAAGGGAUAUCCCUCUUGACUGAUCAGAGGGGCCUGGUCUCUGUCACCGCCAUAGAGCCAUUGGCCCAUCCCUUUUACCAGUGGUUUCUGAAGAACUAUCCUUUGAGCUGUGGAAUCUCCAACCAAGUCAGUGGAGCUGAUUUUUUACAGAUUGGCCAAGGGAAGUGCACUGCCAUAGAGGAUCACAGAGGGAGAGGAUGGGAUGAGCUGAGCUUCUACAAAGAUGACAUCAUAGAGGUCAUUGGCUUUCUCAUUCCAGGCCUUCAGUGGUUUAUAGGAAAAUCAACAUCCAGUGGGACAAUAGGCUUUGUCCAAAGCAAAUGUGUGACUGCCGAGACUGAUGAUUCAAUUCACCAACAUAGGAGAAAGAGCUCUGUAUUUUUCAGUGAAGAAGAAGCCAGCAGCUUUUUGCAGGUUCCUUGGAAUGGCAGCGAGAUGCAUUACAGUAAUCUUCUCCAUGAAUGGGCAGAGACAGACAUUGCCUCCGUGUACAGGCUUGAUGGCUUCGAACCUGUGGCCAUGUACCCACAGACACCAUCAGGUGAGUAUGUAGGAAGGGGAAAAUGGGACACCUUUUGUGUUCCUGCAAUAUAUCACCUUGAGGAGAAGUAUCUCCUUGUGCCUUAUCUGUCUCUUUCAGGUGCAGUUGUAGAGGGACUUAAAGAUGGCUGGAUGUUCGAGGGUUGGGGGAAGCACUCUAGUAAUAACUUGUCCACUCCUAGUGAUUCUGAACAGUCCAGCCCAGUGGGUGAAUCUUCACCUUCUACUCUGGAACUACUUCUACCAGAACCAGAUGACCUUGAUGACCCCAAGUUCUUUAUUGACCUGAAUAUUGGCCACAUGGAAGACUGUGAUGUAUUUGACCCUAUACUGACUUUCCUCAACCAAAGCAGCUAUGUGACCCAUUUCCAAAGUCUGUAUGACCUCUCUUUUUCAUUCCUUAGUUCCACCUUCUAUGGCUUCUCCAGUGAGGAGGAGCUGGUCUUAUACCUGGAGACAUCCAGGAACUGGGCCAAGAGGGGUCAACUUGAUUGGGCUCACAUCCGGAUAUGUUUUCUCUUGGGCCGACUUUGUGUCAAGAGGGCCAAGUUCUCCCAAGCUCGGGUCUAUUUUGAGGAAGCCAUGAACACAAUGGACCAUGGGUUUGAAGAUCUGCCCCUCCUCACCUCAUUGCACAUAAACCUUGCUGCAAUUUAUCUGAAGCAGAAGAUGAAGCAAAAGUUCUUAUCUGUGGUUGGGAAAGGGGUGGCCCUCCUGGCUUGCUUACCUGGGCACUGCUUCAGCUCAGACAUUGAGCUUGAGGUGGUGCUGUACAUCCUAAGGGAAGCCAUGGCUAUGGGCAACACUGCUUUGGAAGCUCGUGCCUGUCUCCUUGUGGUCAAACUCUUCCUGCAGCUGGGCAAGUAUGAUGAGGUCUUGCCUUUUGCAGAACGUUUACAAUGCCUGUGUGCCAGUUUCUCCAGUCAAGACUCCACUGCAGCCUCCUUAGACACCAUGCCUAUUCUAACCUACCUGUAUGACAAGAAGUACUUGCCACACAUUGCCUUGGCAUCUGCAAGACUGUUUUCCCCCAACAGUAUUAAGGGGGCACUGACUCCCAUUUGGAGAGCUGGAUUCAUCCUUUCGAAUUCAUCAAAGUUUCUUAAAGUCCAAGAGAGAAGCACCACAAGUACUAGCACCCCUGCUUUGGCUUGCCUUUAUUUAAAUCAUGCAUUGGUCUUCUCCCAUGAAAAUGGUGCUAUGUCCACAGAAAGAGCCCUGUGCGCAGUUUUAUCCAAAAUGUACCUCAAGCAUGGCCUGCUGCAGGGAGCAGUGCAUUAUUCAAACAGAGCUGUUCUUCUUGGCAAAGCAAUGGGUGAGGAGGAAGCGUUUGAAUCCUCCCUUUUCUUGGGGUGGAUGCAUACUUUGAACAGUCAACCAGAAAAAGCAGUGGAGAUCAUGAUGCACCUCCUGCAUUCUUUGCAACAGACAGACGGUGUCACACAGGAUGGGGUGGUCCACAACCUUUUAGCCAUUGCCCUUAAAGGAGAAGGACACGUGCAGAAGGCAGCAGAAAACUACUUAUGGGCCUUGAAUAAAGCGCGAGAGACUGGCAACAGGCGGAACCAAGCUAUUGCAUUGUCCAACUUUGGGUGUUUGGCUGUCUCUUGCAGGGCAAACUGCUUAGCAGGGCACUAUUUUAUCCAGGCCAUUGAGUUGUACUUUGACCUCCAGGGUGGAGAUGAUGUACAGUUGGAGUUGGUGCAGAUUCUGCUGUGGUUGGCCCAAACACAGGUGGCGAAGCAUAAAGUGGAAGAAAGCAAACUGUUUUACGAACUGGCCUUGGCAGUUGCCUUGAAGACACGGAGUGUGAUGAGUCAGCUUCAUGCAACUGAGUCCCUCUGCCAUUUCUAUAGUGAAAUGUGUCCAAAUACUGAAGCCUCUAUUAUCUACCAUGAACACCAAGUUCUUCUAGCUCAACAACUCCAGGACAGAGAAAUGGAAGGGCAGCUUCUGCAGUCUCUCCAACAGCUCUACCAGAGUGUAAAUACAGCCAGAUCUUUGAAGCAGGCACUGGAUUGUACCAAGCAGAGUCUGAAGCUCUUCAUUGACAUGGAGGAAACAGUCAAGACAGCACAGGCCUGGUUACAGGCUGGGCAGCUCUACUAUCAAUUGCAAGAGGAUGAACUUGUGGAGAUGUAUUUGCAGGCAGCCAUAGAGACCGCACUGAAACCUGAAGAGCUUCACUUGGCCAUGGAACUGUAUGAAGAAGCUGGUGAUGUCUUCUUCAAUGGGAUCCGGAACAGACAACGGGCAGUGGAAUAUUACAGGGGAGGAGCUGUACCUUUGGCUAGGAAGCUGAAGGACCCAUGGACUGAACUGAGACUCUUCAACAAGCUGGCUGAGCUGCAGAUUGGACUCCAGAAUUAUGAGAAUGCACUGGAAUUUGCUACGUUGGCAGCCAGGCUCAGCGUGGAUGUAGGAGACCAGUGGCAAGAAGUAGUUGCCUUCCACCGCCUGGCAACUGCAUACUACCUUCUGCAAAUGUAUGAAAUGGCUGAAGACUGUUACCUGAGGACACUCUCUCUGCGCUCACCAUUGUUGCAAGGCACUCAGGAAGCCAUGUAUUAUUCUAAGGUCUAUUGCCGCCUGGGAGAUCUGACCCUGUGCAAAUUAAAGGAUGAACAAGAUGCCACCAACUAUUUCCUCUUAGCCUUGGCAGCUGCCACUGAGCUUGAUGACCAGGCCUGGCAGGGCAGGAUUCAGGCCAGGUUGGCUCAAAUAUACAAUGCUUCCCACUCAGAUAAGAGCCCAAGAGGAUGGACUACAUAUCGGGCCCGAUGGCUAAGUGAAGGGAGACAGGAUGUAUGACAGAUCACCUUAUGGGACUCAAAAGCUCCAAAGACCGGCAGUGCCCAUCUCCUUACCUUACUGCCAAAGAGCUUCCAGGUGCUUCCUAGGCCGUGAAUGAAGGGGAAGUUCAGGUCUCAAUACUUCCAUGUUCUGUGUUUUUAAAUUCAGUGGUGAAAGAAACUUACCUCUUGCCAGAUUCAUCUGUGACUGACUCACUGGAUGGACAGACACCCCACCUUCAACCUCUACUGUGCGUGUUAUUCUUCUUUGAGUCUAAAUCCUGAACAGGUCACUUCAGUAAUCCUAAUAAUAUUCAUAUUUAUUGAUUCAUUCUCAGCCACCCACCUGUCAGUGAUAUUUUAAAAAAUGGUUGAAAUGGGGGAAAAAAAGAUGCUUACAAAAAUGGUAAAAAGUGUUGGGUUCUGGUGUUUGAAGGAGAAAGUUUGCAAAUAAAUCUUUGCAGAUUUUCUUUGAACAACCUUUCAGAUUAUUACAGAGAGAAACUCAAAUAUGUAAUGACACAUGUAAGGAUGAUUGCUCAAAUUUUGGGGAAUAUUAAUUAGCUCAACACACCAAUAUUGGGCUCCUUACAAAUCCCCUUUCUGGGACCGGAUCCCAACCUGUAUACCAAUGGACCAGAGCUUCCAGGAACUGACACAAAGGCAAAGUCUUUGAAUUUUAAGCUAGUUUAUUGAUGCACAGGGGAGGGGGGGCACACUCACACACAUACAUUCACUCAAGGCUAAUAGAAGAAAGGGAGGAAAAGUGGAGAGAGAACACAAGGCCUUCUAAUGGUAGAUACUUGCCUGAGAUGGUUUCCCUCAGAAUCAAGGUAGUUGCAGCAACACAAUGAAGGGAAAUGGGAAAAGGGGUGUGUGGAACCAUGCCAGGAAAAGCAGACUGACAGAGUGCCUGCCUGCCACCAACAUGGAACCCAGAACAAAAGAAAAACUGAACCUUAAAUAGGUUCCUAGUCACAUACUCAGUGGAAGCUGUUGUCCCAUAUCAAAGCAAAACCAAAUUUACACAUCACUUGAUCCAUAGGCAUCCUCUGCCAUGGGAAAACUAUAGAUACCGGAAUGGCUUGUAUCUGUGAAACAUCUCCCAGUCAUAAAUCUGUCUCAUAGGUGUGAAGGAAUCUUCCUGUUUGCAAUUCCUAACUAAGGCUUGCUGCCUACGUGGUCUCUCUGUUUUCAGAUCAUGGCAGCCAAGGGGCAUCUUCCAUAAUGCCUUUCCAUUAGGGUCAUAAGGAGACAUAUCUUCACACUAUAGAUGCAAGACUUGCUUAGAGGCCUCUAUGAUCAAGCGAUGCCACCUGAUUACCUCCGCAGAUGAAUUUUGGAAUAGGGAUUUGUGGGGGUAUUUUUAUAAAAUUCCAGACUUGUUAACAACGUUAUAGCCUAAGAUAAUAGAAAUUAAUUUGAAACUGGAAAAGUGUUAUUUGAAUAGUAAGAUCUUUUAUAAAACACAUAUGAUUCAGUAUUCUGGAUUCAAGAAAACACUCAGUUGUACACUUCAUCUUUUUCUUCAUGGGUCUAAGGAAACCAAGUUAAAAUAAUUUGUAUGUGCUUUCCUUAGUAAUUAAUUAUGCCUUGUAUGUAUAUGCCAGUUUUGUAGAUGGGCUUACAGGCAUAGAUAUGGCUUUCUCUGCAGAGUUAAGUGUGUCUUCAUAUGAACUACUGAUGGGGAAACCACAUGAAUUAUCUGGAUAAGUGACAGGGUACUAAUUUGUUUCCCUUUGCUUGUUUUAGUAGAUCUUAUUUUUAAACAACUCAUACUGUUUUAACCUUAAUAUAUGGUUUCUAAACAUAUGGGUCUGCUAGUGCUAGAACUCUUUUUAUAAUAACAUGAGGUUGCAGUUGUCUGCACCUGGAACAGGUAAUGAUCUGACCAAGAAGUAUGUUCUCUUUCUCUCUCUCGACUUCAUAAUAGUUUCCUUUCAUGUGUAUUUCGGCAUACAUUCCAGCUAUAGAAUUAAAUUGAAUUAAAUUUUUAAAUUCUUUCAGACAUUCAGUUUUCAUGAACAACGUUUAUGUUUCCUUAAAUUUGUUCUAACUUAAAAGAAAAUGGAGUUGAAAAAAUAUUCUUUUUAGACUGGUGUCCAAUAUGAACUCACUAAUUUGACACAUGAAGGAGAAUCCCAGUCAUGUUUACUUAGAAAUAAUUGUUACUAAAUUCAAUGCCUCUUGCUUUCUAGCAAAUCUGAUUUGGACAUGCAGCAUUUGCUCUAUUUAAAUACACUCUUGGUUGUUGGAAACUGGCACAUUUCCAGUAGAGUAAGUGGAUGCACACACCAGCUGAGAAUGUAACCUAAGAAUGUUAACCUUAUGUGGCCCCUUUAAUUCACAGCAAAGUAUCCUCUAUAGCCUGGGAAAAAUCAACGACAUGAAUUUCCCAUUUGGGAAUGUACCACGUGGCAUUGUUUCCCUCUCUGUCUCCCUUGACAUAUCUGAGCUGUCUUCAUAAUGUGAUCUGAGAUCUUAACUGACCAGGGACCAGCACAUAUGAUAGCUAUUAUAAUUGCUUGAAAACAGAUUGGACAUUCACUAAGACACUAUGUAUGCUGGUUUUCCAAUCACUCUUCUCCAGACAGAAGGUUUGGUAGCAUGAAAACACUGAGUUCUUUUAUGUGCCAUUUGUCACCCCCCACCUGAAGGAGGUGUGGGGUAAGGAUGGUGUGGGCCUCAUAACUCCAGGACUGUGAAACAUGGAUACCAGAAAUUUCUGAAUGAAUACUAAGGGAAACUCAGAAGUGUGUACACUGGGGUUGUUUUGUUUUUAAAAUGGAUUAAUUAGUUUUAGUUGAUUACAAUCUGUUUCAGUACAUCUUCAGUACAUCAUUAUUCACUAGGCAGCAACAUCACCUAGCCUUCCAAAAUCACCAGAGGCAAACCUGGAAGCAGGCCUGGGAUAAUUAUGUCUUCACAGGGCCUGUGAUAAUUUUGGUAUGUGGUACUUUUCUGCAUUGCCACUUAGUUCUUCAAGGAGUUGCCAGAAAAACAGAAAAAGAGGGAAAGAAUGGCCUACUGCCUGAAAAGCUUAGAGCAGGGAAGGUCGUGAGCAAAUGGAAAGCGUGAAUAAGUAUGAGGAGAUGGAGAAAGAGAAAUUCAGCAAGAAAUUGAAAGAAAAUGGAAGGAAAAAAGCCAAGAGAAAGAGGCAGAGCAUCAAGAUGGGCUAGGGACAGGGGCUAACCCUUGGAAAUCUUGUAUGUCUGUUAUGUAUGUCUGAAUGUGUGGAAGAGGAACUAAUGCCCAUAUCAGUACACUGUCCAGUGUUAUAAUUUUCUUUGUUAAUGAUAUGAUGAAAAUGAGCUGAUGAAAUUACUGUGAUAACAGCAAGAAUUUCUCUGCACCAGUGAUGACUACAAAAUUGAACAGCAUGAUCCCGUGAACUGAGUGGUGGACACUGUGGGAAUGGAACAAAAUGUAAACCUGAAU